rnacentral:rRNA from 1 species
CCUACGGGAGGCAGCAGUGAGGAAUAUUGGUCAAUGGGCGCGAGCCUGAACCAGCCCAGUAGCGUGAAGGAUGACUGCCCUCCGGGUUGUAAACUUCUUUUAUAAAGGACUAAAGUGAGGCACGUGUGCCUUUUUGUAUGUACUUUAUGAAUACGGAUCGGCUAACUCCGUGCCAGCAGCCGCGGUAAUACGGAGGAUCCGAGCGUUAUCCGGAUUUGUUGGGUUUAAAGGGAGCGUAGAUGGGUUGUUAAGUCAGUUGUGAAAGUUUGCGGCUCAACCGUAAAAUUGCAAUUGAUACUGGCAGCCGUGAGUACAGUUGAGGUAGGCGGAAUUCGGGGUGUAGCGGUGAAAUGCUUAGAUAUCACGAAGAACUCCGAGUGCGAAGGCAGCUUACUAAACUGCCACUGACAUUGAUGCUCGAAAGUGUGGGUAGCAAACAGGAUUAGAGACCCUAGUAGUC